UACGUAGGGGGCAAGCGUUGUUCGGAAUUACUGGGCGUAAAGGGCGCGUAGGCGGCCCGAGCAAGUCGGGAGUGAAAGCCCGGGGCUCAACCCCGGAACGGCUCUCGAAACUGCGGGGCUCGAGUGCGGAAGAGGCAACUGGAAUUCCCAGUGUAGCGGUGAAAUGCGUAGAUAUUGGGAAGAACACCGGAGGCGAAGGCGGGUUGCUGGGCCGACACUGACGCUGAUGCGCGAAAGCCAGGGGAGCAAACGGG
rnacentral:rRNA from 1 species